rnacentral:rRNA from 1 species
UCCAGUUGAUCCUGCUGGCGGCUGCGGCUCUCUGAUUUGCGUUUAGACAUGCAAGUCCUUUUAGUUUCUUCGGAAGUUGAAAGGCAAACUGCUCAGUAACACGUAGCUAACCUACCCUUAAGUCAAGAAUACCCUCGGGAAACUGAGGUUAAUGCUUGAUAGGAGAUAUGCCCUGGAAUGACUUAUCUCUUAAAUUCGUGCUUAAGGAUGGGGCUGCGGCGGAUUAGGUUGUUGGCGGGGUAAAAGCCCACCAAGCCGAAGAUCCGUAAGGGCUCUUAGCGGAGAGGCCCUGAGAGGGAAUCUGAGACACUAUUCCCAGCCCUACGGGGUGCAGCAGUUAGGAAUAAUCUACAAUGUACGUAAGUAUGAUAGUUUGAAUCAGAGUGCUUUUCAAUUUGAAAAGCUUUUGAGAAAUGUAAAAAGUUUCUCGAAUAAGGACUGGGUAAGACGAGUGCCAGCCGCCGCGGUAAUACUCGCGGUCCAAGUCGCAGCCACAUUUAUUGGGUCUAAAACAUCCGUAGCUUGCUUGAUAAGUUUCUUGUGAAAUCCAACUUCUUAAAAGUUGGGCGCGCAAAAAGUACUGUCGAGCUAGAGACUGGAAGACGUGGGAAGUACGUUUAAAGUAGUGGUUAAAUACGUUAAUCUUAGACGGACUCACAAUAGCGAAGGCAUCCCACGAGGACAGUUCUGACAGUGAGGGAUGAAGGCUAGGGGCGCAAAGGGGAUUAGAUACCCCUGUAGUCCUAGCAGUAAACACUGCACACUAAACAUUAGUACCUCCUCGAGAGGUAUUGGUGCUGAAGGGAAGCCGAAGAGUGUGCUACCUGGGAAGUAUAGUCGCAAGGCCGAAACUUAAAGGAAUUGGCGGGGAGACACUACAACGGGUGACGCGUGCGGUUCAAUCAGAUUCUACACCGUGAACCUCACCAGGGGCGACAGCAGAAUGAAGGUCAGUCUAAAGGGCUUACCUGACACGCUGAGAGGGAUUACAUAGCCGACGUCAGCCUGUGCCGUGAGGUGACCUGUUAAAUCAGGUAACAGGCAAGACCCACAUCUUUAUUUACGAAACAAUAAAGAGAUCGCCUUGGUAACAAGGAUGAAAGUGUGGGCUACGUUAGGUGGCACAGUCCGAAUCUCCUGGGCGACACGCGCGCGUCAACGGUGGAUACAAUGAGAUGCAACUCCGAAAGGAGAAGCUAAUCCCCUAAAAUCCAUCUCAGUCUAGAUCGAGGUUUGAAACCCAGCCUCGUGACACUGGAAUCCGUAGUAAUCGGAUGUUAUUAGCGUCCGGUGAAUAGGUCACUGUCUCUUGCACACACUGCCCGUCAAACCAACCGAGUUUAGUUAUGGUGAAACUUUUCGAAGGAGAACUUUGACUAGACAAGGUAGGUU